UUUGAAAGAACAAACUGAAAUAUGUAGAAGAAAUGUAGAAAUGCAAAAGGAAAGGGUUAGGUGUUACAUGUGGAGAGAGAACAGCAUCGCAAAAAUGUGGGAUUGGGAAAUUCAGUGGGAUUUUCAGGAAACACAAUUAGUUCAUUCCUGGAGCUUGGGGUGACUUGGGGAGAGGAAUUGGAGAAGGAAUGCCAGAAGUGUGGCCAAGAAUCAGAGUGUGGGGGGACCUGUAGGCCCCGCUAAGAAUUCGGGGUGUAUUCUGAAGGCAGCAGGAGCCCAUUCAGUGUUUUUAAACAGGGAAAUAACUAGGUCAAAUCUGUGUUUUAGAGGAAUCACCGGCAGCAACAUCAAGAUGAACUGGAGUAAAGGGAGGCUAGACAUAUGAACCAUUGGCCCUUCUGUGACUGGGGAGCGGAGGGAUGGACCUUGAAGAAGUCAUUCAGAGUAGCAAUAUUACCAUGGAGAGAAUUGAAAGAGUUGAAGCCAACAUCAAGUUCCUGGUUUGGUUUGAGCAUUGUGCGAGAAAACAGACAGGUGACCUAAGACAAGAAGCAGGUAGGAGGAAGGAGGGAUUAUUAACUCCACCUUGAAUAUCUGGGGUCUGAGGAACCAAUGCAUUUCCAAGGAGAGUCACUCUGUGCAGCCAGUAAUAUGAAGCAAGGAAGAGAAUUGGGGCCAGAGAUACAGUUUGGGGUGUGGUAGGUGGAGCCAUUUGAUUGGAUGAGAAACCCAGAGUGAUCACAUGGAGAGAGAAGAGAAACAAUGAGGCCCAUGGGGAAAUUGAGCUUUUCUUCCCUCCUUCCCCGCCCCCCCCGCCCCCACUUUUAAAGUUCAGUGCCUUUCUCCCUGUUAUAAAAGUAUCUGAAAACCAACAACAGGCCCAAGUAAGUGGAAAUGACACUAAGUUUUGUUUUGUUUUGUUUUGUUUUGUUUUGUCUUUUCCAGAAAUUCUCUAACUUCUGGCACUGGGAGAGGUGGGCCGGCACUCCCAGCCGCAGGACUGCUUCUCUAAGAGUUGACUGCUGUGUAGUUUGAGUAAAUGGUAGCAGCCAGUACAGGGAUCAAGAAGACCCAAGGAUGAAGAUUUUCACUGAUUGAAAGUGAGCUGGAAUGGACAUCUGCAGGAAGUACUGCACUAGAAGUCUCGGCGAGGUGCUCUGCCUAUUUAUGGGGGGCAAAUAAAAGGUUUUCAGAAGACGAUCAUAGUAAGCGCCUUCCAGUUUUUUCCUGGUAAUCACCGAAGAAGUUUUACUGACUGCCAUGAUUGUAUUAUACUACCAAGCAAUAAUAAUAAUAUUAACAAUAUGUGUUAAUAUUUCAGUGCCUCUGAUACACGGGUCACUGUUCUAAACUGAUAAAUGAAUGAUCUCAUUUGAUCUUUCUACAACACAAUGAUAUAGACACUCUUAUUUUCCCCAUUUAUAGAUGAAGAUACUGAGACACAACGAGGUUGAAAAACUUGCCCAGAGCCAUGCAGAGCAGAAGAACCAGGAUGGAACCCAGAUGGGCUGCAGAGCCCGAGUCCUACUGUGUCUGAGAGUAUGAAGGGUGCUCCAUAAUGUCUUCAGACUCUGAAUAAAGCUUCUUAGUGUGAAGCUGGUAUUGCUGCUGUGAAAAGGUCAACACGACAGCUAUGCCUGUGUUAGCCUUUCCCUUCUCUGAAUCAGCGUUUUCUGAGAAAUGUAGCCUUGGGAGUGGUCAUUUCCUCCAUUGGAAAUAAAUCAGAGAAAAAGACCCCCCUCCCUCCUUACCCCUGCCUCUCUUGACAUUAUUCAAAUAUACUUCUUAUUGCUCAGAGAUAUGAAUCUACAGAAUUCAUUAAAAAACCAGUGCUUUCCCUUGAA